UGUAUGAAGAAGGCCUUCGGGUUGUAAAGUACUUUCAGCGAGGAGGAAGGCAUUAAGGUUAAUAACCUUAGUGAUUGACGUUACUCGCAGAAGAAGCACCGGCUAACUCCGUGCCAGCAGCCGCGGUAAUACGGAGGGUGCAAGCGUUAAUCGGAAUUACUGGGCGUAAAGCGCACGCAGGCGGUCUGUCAAGUCGGAUGUGAAAUCCCCGGGCUCAACCUGGGAACUGCAUUCGAAACUGGCAGGCUAGAGUCUUGUAGAGGGGGGGUAGAAUUCCAGGU
rnacentral:rRNA from 1 species